rnacentral:sRNA from 1 species
GAGGAUGCUGAGGUGACCAAAGCUUUUGAAGAAGAUAUAGAGACCCCACCAACAAGAAACAUUCCUUCUCCCGGACAGCUGGACCCAGACACACGGAUCCCUGUUAUCAAUCUUGAAGAUGGGACUAGGCUGGUGGGGGAAGAUGCUCCUAAAAAUAAGGAUUUAGUUGAAUGGCUGAAGCUGCACCCUACUUACACUGUUGAUAUGCCAAGUUAUGUACCAGUGAGUAUUGCAGAGUUUAGAGUUGGAAGGAAUCUUGCAGGCCGGUCCACUUCAUUCCCUUACAACACAGAAAUCCCUGACAGCUGGUCCCUCUGCCUUUUCCUUGAAUGUUUCCUGGUCUCAAACAUUUCCCAGGUCUUUGUUGUUGAAUCUUCUUCAUUGCAGAUACUAGCUUCAGGUCUGUCUUACUGAAGGCAGCCUUACAGUUAUUUGAAGAUGCGCGUUAUGCAUUUCCUUACUGUUUGCUUCUCCCAUCAAACUCAUGUGACUUCUUCAGUUAUUCUUUCCACGGCAUCGUUUCCAGGCAGUCUUAGUAUUGGGGUAACACUGUUGAAUGCACUUUCUCCAGUCUCCAGACGAGGCCCCGCCAUCCCAGAGUGCUAUGAAGCCAUUACUUCCAGAGAUUUGACCAGUUAGUGCAGCCCAAGAUUGUAUUAGCUGCUUUUAUGGCAACUAAUCCUGGUGCCUUAUAUUAAACGUUAGACAGUUCAUAUCUCCAAAUGGUUUGUCACACGAACUGUUUGCUAGCUAGCAAUGCAAGUCUUUUCCUUUCUAUAUUUAUGUGAUUGAUUUUUUAAAACUUAAAUGUAGAGUUUUACAUUUUAUUUUGUUGGGUUCAGCCUAGAGUUCUUGCCACUCAGAAUGUACCCCCACCCCCUACAAGAUCUGUCUGUUUGUUGGUUAGUUCUCAUUACAGACAGUCUCAUGUUGUUGAUGGGGUAUCAUCUCUGUGUUCAUUGGAGCCACUAACUAGAAAUUAGUAAAAGUACUACAGAAAGCCUCCUUUAAAAGUAUCAUGACUUGGUUAAACAUUUAAAGAAAAACUUUAAGUGAGGUUAUUGAUAGACAAAAGGAAAAGCCAAUUCUCACUUAUGUAUUCCUUAAUGGACGGGUAAAAUAGGAGUUUUUUCUUUCAAAGAGAAAAAUAUGGUUUCUAAUAUUAAUAAUUAAAAUGAUUCUUGAAACUUCCAUAAUAAUUGAAGAUGAUCUGACAGUUCUCUUUGGCAUUUAUAUAGAGAAGAAUAAGUACUAAAUACCAGUUUUACUAAAUAUGUUUUUUCUUUUGCAGAAGAAUGCAGAUGUGCUGUUUUCCUCAUUUCAGAAACCGAAACAGAAACGACAUAGAUGUCGAAACCCUAAUAAAUUGGAUAUAAACACUUUGACAGGAGAAGAAAGGGUGCCUGUUGUCAAUAAACGAAAUGGGAAGAAGGUAAACGCUGGGAAAGGGAAUUGAUCACUAUGCGAUUUCUUAGCCCAGAAGGAAGUGUUUUAUCCUGCCUUCUUCUAUAGGGGAAAAGAAUCCUGUCUGCCCGGAUGUGUGUGUGCGUGUAUGUGUGUAUUAUAGAAGGGGGAGGGAGUAGAUUAACAGAAAGGGGAGGGAAGACUGUGUUUUUAAUCAUUUGUCAAAUGCCUCUACCCAGAUGGGUGGAGCUAUGGCGCCUCCAAUGAAGGAUCUACCCAGGUGGCUGGAAGAAAAUCCUGAAUUUGCAGUUGCUCCAGACUGGACUGAUAUAGUUAAGCAGUCUGUAAGUACAAAGUGCAUUUCUAUCAAGAAAGGUAGCUAUACAAAACUGUUUUCCUUAGUCUUUCUUAUUUUCUGUUGGCCAUUAAUUAUUCAGUUGUAACUUAGCUUAAAAGAAUUGACAUAAUACAUCAUUUUCAUACAUCAUUUCAUACAUCAUUAAUACAUCAUUUCUUACAUCAAUACAUCAUUAAUCCAAAGUGAAUUCAUUUAUCAGCUCCAAUUUAAAAGGUUUGUAUGGAAACAUACAUUCACAAUCUUAGAGGUAGACUUCUCCAGGGGGGAUUGCCCCAGCUAAGCCUACUUAACAGCUCACCUGUGGAAUAGGAUGUAUGGUGGUUGAGAUCAUUAAGAUUAACUGUGAUUUCUGAUAUAAAAAAACCAAAACAAAACAAAACAAAAAUACAACAGUUCUGCCUAAAAGAUUUGUUACCAUUAGCUUUUUAAAAAUUCGUUCAUGACAUGCUGGUUCUUUGUUUUAAUUAUACAUUAAAAAUGUCUUUCGGUGUAACAUUCUGUUGAUCUUAACACACGUGUGAGUUUGUGAACUGACACCGUAGUCAGAAUAGGGUUCCAUCCCCCACCCCCACCACCCCGAGUUCCCUCACACCGUCCUUUCCCCGACCGCAGCCCCUGGCUGCCGCUGACCUGUUGUCCAUCCCUGUCUUUUUGAGAAUGUCCUGAAAUGGAAGCAUGAAGGACAUAAGUCUUGAAGCAGUUUCUUUCGCUCAUCAUAUGGAAGGUCAUCGAUGGUCGCAUGUGUCACAGUUAUCUCCUUUCUGUUGCCAAGUAGCUGUCUCCAUUGCAUAGAUGUGACACUGCAUGGCUUAGCCCUCACACACUGAAGGACAUCUGGGUUAUUUCCUGAUUUUUGAAACUAUGAUUAGAGCUGCUAUAAGCAAUUGUGUACAGGUUUUGGUGUGAACAUAAGUUUUCAUUUUUCUAGGGUAGAUACUAAAAUAUAAUUACAUUUUCCAUAUUUCAAAAAUACUUUUACAUAUAUUUGAAAUAUCCAAAAUAACACAUUAUAGAGGGCAUAAAACAUCCUGGGUUUAUAUUAUGUUAUACUAUUUUAUAAUUUUUCUCCCAUACAAUAUCUUUUUUUCUUUUUUUUUUUUUUUUUUUUUUUUUGAGACAAGGUGUUUGUCACCCAGGCUGGAGUGCAGUGGUGAAAUCACAGCUCACUACAGCCUCAUUCUCCUAGGCUCAAGCAAUCCUCCCACCUCAGCCUCCCAAGCAGCUGGCACUACAGGCACACAUCACCAAGCUUGGCUAGUUUUUGUAAUUUUUGUAGAGAAGGCAUUUUGCCACGUUGCCCAGGCUGGUCUCAAACUCACCUCAAGCAAUCUGCCUGCCCUGACCUCCCAAAGUGCUGAGAUUACAGGUGUGAGCCACUGUGCCCAGCCAAAAAUUUUUUUUAAUUGACAGAUAUUUAAUUGACAAAAAUUAAUUGAUGAAUAAAAUAUAUAUGCAAGGUGUACAGCACGGUGUUUUCUUCUUUUAAGAGACAGGGUCUUGCUGUGUCACCCAGGCUGGAGUGCAAUGGUGCAAUCAUAGCUCACUGCAGCCUCAAACUCCUGGGCUCAAGCAGUCCUCCCACCUCAGCCUCCUGAUUAGCCAAGUAGCUGGGAUGACAAGCAUAUGCCACCACACCUGGAUAAUUUUUUUUUAUUUUCUAGAGAUAGGGUCUUGCUAUGUGCCCCGGGCUGGUCUCAGACUCCUGGGCUCAAGAAAUCCUCUAGUCUUGGCCUCCCAAAGUGUUGGGAUUACAAGCAUGAACCACGGCACCUGGCUUCAAAGUGAUGAUUUGAUAUAAUUAUACAUUAUGUACUUUCCUUUUAAAAAAUUUGUUAUGGGUACAUAGUAGGUGUAUAUAUAGGGUACAUGAGAUAUUUUGUACAAGCACACAGUGCAUAAUAAUCACGUUGGGUAGAUGAGGUAUGCAUCACCUCAAGCAUUUACCCUUUGUAUUACAAACAAUGUGAUUAUACUCUUUUAGUUAUUUUAAAAUAUACAAUAAAUUAUUGUUGACUGUGUAGUCACCCUGUUGUGUUAUCAAAAACUAGAUCUUACUCAUCCUGUCUAACUCUAUUUUUGUACCCCAUAAUGUACUUUCUGAUGUAUGAUUUCUUGAGUUAGUUAUGGAUGCAGCUAACUUGACAUUUACCUCACUGAUGAGUAGCCUUGAGCAAUUUUUCUGCAGUUCAGCAAGCUAACAUAAUAAUAAAAACAAGUUUUGCUGUCAUUAAGUUUUAUCAUUGAGCUGUUAGGAGGGAAGAACUACUUAGGUAUUUCCAUUUGGAAUGGCAGGUUCACCACAGAGGCUCACAUUGAGAUCAAGUUGUCUUCGACAGCCUUUAUAGCCAUUGUUUGCCUCCCCUGUCCUCCAGGGUUUUGUUCCUGAGUCGAUGUUUGACCGCCUUCUCACUGGGCCUGUAGUGCGGGGAGAGGGAGCGAGCAGAAGAGGAAGAAGGCCCAAAAGUGAGAUCGCCAGAGCAGC